rnacentral:rRNA from 1 species
AGCGUACACGGUGGAUGCCCUGGCAGUCAGAGGCGAUGAAGGACGUGCUAAUCUGCGAUAAGCGUCGGUGAGGUGAUAUGAACCGUUAUAACCGGCGAUUUCCGAAUGGGGAAACCCAGUGUGUUUCGACACACUAUCAUUAACUGAAUCCAUAGGUUAAUGAGGCGAACCGGGGGAACUGAAACAUCUAAGUACCCCGAGGAAAAGAAAUCAACCGAGAUUCCCCCAGUAGCGGCGAGCGAACGGGGAGGAGCCCAGAGCCUGAAUCAGUGUGUGUGUUAGUGGAAGCGUCUGGAAAGGCGCGCGAUACAGGGUGACAGCCCCGUACACAAAAAUGCACAUAUUGUGAGCUCGAUGAGUAGGGCGGGACACGUGGUAUCCUGUCUGAAUAUGGGGGGACCAUCCUCCAAGGCUAAAUACUCCUGACUGACCGAUAGUGAACCAGUACCGUGAGGGAAAGGCGAAAAGAACCCCGGCGAGGGGAGUGAAAAAGAACCUGAAACCGUGUACGUACAAGCAGUGGGAGCCUCUUAAUGGGGUGACUGCGUACCUUUUGUAUAAUGGGUCAGCGACUUAUAUUCUGUAGCAAGGUUAACCGAAUAGGGGAGCCGAAGGGAAACCGAGUCUUAACUGGGCGUUAAGUUGCAGGGUAUAGACCCGAAACCCGGUGAUCUAGCCAUGGGCAGGUUGAAGGUUGGGUAACACUAACUGGAGGACCGAACCGACUAAUGUUGAAAAAUUAGCGGAUGACUUGUGGCUGGGGGUGAAAGGCCAAUCAAACCGGGAGAUAGCUGGUUCUCCCCGAAAGCUAUUUAGGUAGCGCCUCGUGAAUUCAUCUCCGGGGGUAGAGCACUGUUUCGGCAAGGGGGUCAUCCCGACUUACCAACCCGAUGCAAACUGCGAAUACCGGAGAAUGUUAUCACGGGAGACACACGGCGGGUGCUAACGUCCGUCGUGAAGAGGGAAACAACCCAGACCGCCAGCUAAGGUCCCAAAGUCAUGGUUAAGUGGGAAACGAUGUGGGAAGGCCCAGACAGCCAGGAUGUUGGCUUAGAAGCAGCCAUCAUUUAAAGAAAGCGUAAUAGCUCACUGGUCGAGUCGGCCUGCGCGGAAGAUGUAACGGGGCUAAACCAUGCACCGAAGCUGCGGCAGCGACACUAUGUGUUGUUGGGUAGGGGAGCGUUCUGUAAGCCUGUGAAGGUGGCCUGUGAGGGGUGCUGGAGGUAUCAGAAGUGCGAAUGCUGACAUAAGUAACGAUAAAGCGGGUGAAAAGCCCGCUCGCCGGAAGACCAAGGGUUCCUGUCCAACGUUAAUCGGGGCAGGGUGAGUCGACUCCUAAGGCGAGGCCGAAAGGCGUAGUCGAUGGGAAACAGGUUAAUAUUCCUGUACUUGGUGUUACUGCGAAGGGGGGACGGAGAAGGCUAUGUUGGCCGGGCGACGGUUGUCCCGGUUUAAGCGUGUAGGCUGGUUUUCCAGGCAAAUCCGGAAAACCAAGGCUGAGGCGUGAUGACGAGGCACUACGGUGCUGAAGUGACAAAUGCCCUGCUUCCAGGAAAAGCCUCUAAGCAUCAGGUAACAUCAAAUCGUACCCCAAACCGACACAGGUGGUCAGGUAGAGAAUACCAAGGCGCUUGAGAGAACUCGGGUGAAGGAACUAGGCAAAAUGGUGCCGUAACUUCGGGAGAAGGCACGCUGAUAUGUAGGUGAAGCGACUUGCUCGUGGAGCUGAAAUCAGUCGAAGAUACCAGCUGGCUGCAACUGUUUAUUAAAAACACAGCACUGUGCAAACACGAAAGUGGACGUAUACGGUGUGACGCCUGCCCGGUGCCGGAAGGUUAAUUGAUGGGGUUAGCGGUAACGCGAAGCUCUUGAUCGAAGCCCCGGUAAACGGCGGCCGUAACUAUAACGGUCCUAAGGUAGCGAAAUUCCUUGUCGGGUAAGUUCCGACCUGCACGAAUGGCGUAAUGAUGGCCAGGCUGUCUCCACCCGAGACUCAGUGAAAUUGAACUCGCUGUGAAGAUGCAGUGUACCCGCGGCAAGACGGAAAGACCCCGUGAACCUUUACUAUAGCUUGACACUGAACAUUGAGCCUUGAUGUGUAGGAUAGGUGGGAGGCUUUGAAGUGUGGACGCCAGUCUGCAUGGAGCCGACCUUGAAAUACCACCCUUUAAUGUUUGAUGUUCUAACGUUGGCCCGUAAUCCGGGUUGCGGACAGUGUCUGGUGGGUAGUUUGACUGGGGCGGUCUCCUCCUAAAGAGUAACGGAGGAGCACGAAGGUUGGCUAAUCCUGGUCGGACAUCAGGAGGUUAGUGCAAUGGCAUAAGCCAGCUUGACUGCGAGCGUGACGGCGCGAGCAGGUGCGAAAGCAGGUCAUAGUGAUCCGGUGGUUCUGAAUGGAAGGGCCAUCGCUCAACGGAUAAAAGGUACUCCGGGGAUAACAGGCUGAUACCGCCCAAGAGUUCAUAUCGACGGCGGUGUUUGGCACCUCGAUGUCGGCUCAUCACAUCCUGGGGCUGAAGUAGGUCCCAAGGGUAUGGCUGUUCGCCAUUUAAAGUGGUACGCGAGCUGGGUUUAGAACGUCGUGAGACAGUUCGGUCCCUAUCUGCCGUGGGCGCUGGAGAACUGAGGGGGGCUGCUCCUAGUACGAGAGGACCGGAGUGGACGCAUCACUGGUGUUCGGGUUGUCAUGCCAAUGGCACUGCCCGGUAGCUAAAUGCGGAAGAGAUAAGUGCUGAAAGCAUCUAAGCACGAAACUUGCCCCGAGAUGAGUUCU